UACGUAGGGGGGCGAGCGUUGUUCCGGAUUCGAUUGGGCGAAAGAGCUCGUGAGGCGGCUUGGCAAGUCGGAUGUGAAAACUCCAGGCUCAACCUGGAGCCGCCAUUCGAUACUGCUAUGGCUAGAGUCCGGUAGGGGAGUGUGGAAUUCCCGGUGUAGCGGUGAAAUGCGCAGAUAUCGGGAGGAACACCGAUGGCGAAGGCAGCUCGCUGGGACGGUACUGACGCUGAGGCGCGAAAGCGUGGGGAGCGAACAGG
rnacentral:rRNA from 1 species